AGAGCUUUUUUCAAAUAAACUCUUUCAACUUUUUAGCAAAAUCAAAAUAACUUUUUAAUUUUUAUCAAAUAUUAUUUUAAUAUCCAAAAAUAUUUUCGAACGGUCAAAAAAUAUGCUUUCUGGCACUUCAAAGGCUUUGCCAAAGAGGGCCUAAAUCAUAACCCCCGAAUGUUGAUCCGUUAAGCUUAUACGGUCUAGUUCAAAUAUCCAAACUUGGUUGUUCUGUGAUUAUUGGGCUGCAUUUUCAUUGCUAUUGGCUCUCCUCAAAGCCUUCCAGUCCCAUCAUGUGUACAUCACCUGCCCUCCACCUCCUCUACUUCAACCUGGCUUCUUUUCCUCCACUCUCGGCUCUUCACCUCCGCUGCCACUGCCCUAGCCUCUGCCAUGCUUCUCGAGGUUAAGAAGAAAAGAAGAUGCCUUAGCUGCAGAUGGCGUUGCCCCCUGAGAUGGCUGAUAAUGUGAUCAGAUUGUACCGUGAGUGCCUAAGAAGAGCUCGCUUCAUUGGUCAUCAGGUUUUUUCUUUUAUCUCCUGUUUCUUUUCGUUUCUUGUUUUCAAAGUUUUCCUUGUCCCUCUCUUAUGAUUCAUGAAAUAUGGUUUGAGAUAAAAAGAUUGGUUCCUAGUGAUAAUGAAUAAUGGCAAUUAAGCAUCUAAAUUAUAAAUGUUGGGUAGAUUGUGGCA